GACGAACGCUGGCGGCGUGCUUAACACAUGCAAGUCGAACGGAAAGGCCCUGCUUUUGUGGGGUGCUCGAGUGGCGAACGGGUGAGUAACACGUGAGUAACCUGCCCUUGACUUUGGGAUAACUUCAGGAAACUGGGGCUAAUACCGGAUAGGAGCUCCUGCUACAUGGUGGGGGUUGGAAAGUUUCGGCGGUUGGGGAUGGACUCGCGGCUUAUCAGCUUGUUGGUGGGGUAGUGGCUUACCAAGGCUUUGACGGGUAGCCGGCCUGAGAGGGUGACCGGCCACAUUGGGACUGAGAUACGGCCCAGACUCCUACGGGAGGCAGCAGUGGGGAAUAUUGCACAAUGGGCGGAAGCCUGAUGCAGCAACGCCGCGUGCGGGAUGACGGCCUUCGGGUUGUAAACCGCUUUCGCCUGUGACGAAGCGUGAGUGACGGUAAUGGGUAAAGAAGCACCGGCUAACAACGUG
rnacentral:rRNA from 1 species